rnacentral:pre_miRNA from 1 species
AGCAACAGAUCUAAUCUAGCCUCUUCUAGGCUUUGUCUGUAUCUUUUUCGCAAGCCAGACAUAGCCUUUUAGAGGUUAGGUGAAGUCUGCUAGU